AAGGCAGGGCAGGCAAAAGCAGGGGUGCUCUCGCCGCCCUCACUACUCGAUCUGCUUCGGCCUUCGUUGUUGCUCCCGCUAUCCCUGCUCAUGGAUCCACUUCAGCUGCCAUUAAUCCUGACGGCCUGGCUGUAGCAUCAUCCCCACCAAUCAAGCCACUGGUUUUCCAGGAGUGGUGGAAAAGUUCCUCUCAGAUGGGCUCCAGUGAAGGGACAUACCCACUAGGUGGGUUUACCAAUUUGCUGCAGUCAAACACCACUCCAGAAAAUUUCCAUCUACUGGGAAAUACAACUAGAAGAACUAGAGUUUCCCAGGUGAAUGCAAUGAUCAAGAGAAUGAGACAAUAAAUAUUGAUGUGGAUGAAACCAUCAACCAUAGUAGGACUGAGAAGAGAUUGAACUGGAUGAAAGAUGAAGACAUUGGAUUGGCUUCUGCUUGGGUGCAUAACUCAAAGGCCCGGUUGAUGGAACUGAUAGGAAGUCUGAUCAAUAUUGGGCAGAUAUCACUAAAGAGAACAACAAAACCAUAGAAGUCAGUCGUAGGAGAAACCGGAACCAACUCAAAAUCCGUUGGGAUCGUGUUAAGAAACCUGUAAGUGAGUUCCAUGGUUGCUGGGUAAAAACCACCAAAGUAUAUAGAAUUGGUAUGAGUGAUGACCAAUUGAUGGAAACGGCUGAAAAGAUGUGUGCUUCUGAACAUAGUGAUAAUGAUUUCAUGCUGAAGCAUAUAUGGAAGGUUGUGCGAGGGGAAAGGAAGUGGUCUACCUAUAAUACAAAAAAUGGAAGGGGAAAAAGAAAAAAAACAAGGGUGUAACUGCAACUAAAAGGUCAGCUGAAGUGGUGAAUUUGGAUGACACUCCUUUGUUGGUGUUGCUGAAUCCAAUAAUGAUAUCAACGUGCUCAACUAAUCACAUUUGUUUGUCGAACAGCUGAGAGGAGAAGCUCCUAAGGUGCAAUAUUCUAUCAAUGGAAGUGAAUACAAUAUCUGUUACUACCUAGCAGACGACAUAUAUCCAGAGUGGCCUAUUUUCGUGAAGUCUAUACGUGAGCCACAGUCGGAUAAACAUAAACUUUUUGCACAACAUCAAGAAGGGGCAAGGAAGGAUGUUGAAUGCGCCUUUGACAUUUUGCAGUCUCGUUUUUGUAUUUUGCAUCAACCAGCAUGUCUAUUGGAGCAAGGGGAUCUUGAGAAUAUCAUGCUUGCUUGUAUAAUCCUCCACAAUUUGAUAAUUGAAGAUGAGAGGGAUAUAGAGCAUGUUCCACUGAUUUGAAUGAGGAAGCCAACACAUAUACUGUUCAAGAAGCUACAAUCUGAUUUAAUUGAACAUAUUUGGCUAAAGUUUGGGAAUUCAAAUAGGCAAAAUAAUUAGAUUAUGUUAUCGAACCUGAUGGCUUCUGAUGGACAUUUGCAACCUGAUGGCUUUUGGAGGACUUCUGAACCUACCUGAGAUGAUGUUGUGCAAUUGAGAUGAUGUCGUGCAACCUGAUGAUGUCACCUUAUUAUUUCAUACUAUAAUAUGUCAUGAACUUUAGUUAUUUUAUUUCCCAACUAUAUGAUCCUACCUUACUUUACUAUGCAUGUCAUGAACUUUAGUUCUUCUGUUAUGUUAUGAACUAUAUGUAUGAGAGAUGAUGGAUGAUGCUACCUAUGUAUGGUUCUCAAAAGUUUGUUGGGCAGUAGCAAUUUGCUAUUUCAUU